CACCGCCCGUCACACCAUGGGAGUCAGUCGCUCUAGAAGUCGGUGCGCCAACCUCGGAGGCAGCCGCCUAAAGAGUGACUGGUGACUGGGGUG
rnacentral:rRNA from 1 species